GAUGAACGCUGGCGGCGUGCCUAAUACAUGCAAGUCGAGCGAACGGACGAGAAGCUUGCUUUUCUGAUGUUAGCGGCGGACGGGUGAGUAACACGUGGAUAACCUACCUAUAAGACUGGGAUAACUUCGGGAAACCGGAGCUAAUACCGGAUAAUAUUUUGAACCGCAUGGUUCAAAAGUGAAAGACGGUCUUGCUGUCACUUAUAGAUGGAUCCGCGCUGCAUUAGCUAGUUGGUAAGGUAACGGCUUACCAAGGCAACGAUGCAUAGCCGACCUGAGAGGGUGAUCGGCCACACUGGAACUGAGACACGGCCCAGACUCCUACGGGAGGCAGCAGUAGGGAAUCUUCGGCAAUGGGCGAAAGCCUGACGGAGCAACGCCGCGUGAGUGAUGAAGGUCUUCGGAUCGUAAAACUCUGUUAUUAGGGAAGAACAUAUGUGUAAGUAACUGUGCACAUCUUGACGGUACCUAAUCAGAAAGCCACGGCUAACUACGUG
rnacentral:rRNA from 1 species